rnacentral:rRNA from 1 species
UACAGAGGUCCCAAGCGUUGUUCGGAUUCACUGGGCGUAAAGGGUGCGCAGGUGGGUUUGCAAGUUCGAUGUGAAAGCCCCGGGCUUAACCCGGGAAUGGCAUUGGAUACUGCAGAUCUGGAGGAUCGGAGGGGGGACUGGAAUUCUUGGUGUAGCAGUGAAAUGCGUAGAUAUCAAGAGGAACACCAGUGGCGAAGGCGAGUCCCUGGACGAUACCUGACACUGAGGCACGAAAGCUAGGGGAGCAAACGGG